rnacentral:rRNA from 1 species
GACGAACGCUGGCGGCGUGCUUAACACAUGCAAGUCGAACGGAAAGGCCCUGCUUUUGUGGGGUGCUCGAGUGGCGAACGGGUGAGUAACACGUGAGUAACCUGCCCUUGACUUUGGGAUAACUUCAGGAAACUGGGGCUAAUACCGGAUAGGAGCUCCUGCUGCAUGGUGGGGGUUGGAAAGUUUCGGCGGUUGGGGAUGGACUCGCGGCUUAUCAGCUUGUUGGUGGGGUAGAGGCUUACCAAGGCUUUGACGGGUAGCCGGCCUGAGUGGGUGACCGGCCACAUUGGGACUGAGAUACGGCCCAGAGUCGUACGGUAGGCAGCAGUGGGGAAUAUGGCACAAUGGGCGGAAGCCUGAUGCAGCAACGCCGCGUGCGGGAUGACGGCCUUCGGGUUGUAAACCGCUUUCGCCUGUGACGAAGCGUGAGUGACGGUAAUGGGUAAAGAAGCACCGGCUAACUACGUG